AAGACCUUGCACUUUUGGAGCGGCCGAUGUCUGAUUAGCUAGUUGGUAGGGUAAUGGCCUACCAAAGCUUCGAUCAGUAGCUGGUCUGAGAGGACGGCCAGCCACACUGGGACUGAGACACGGCCCAGACUCCUACGGGAGGCAGCAGUGGGGAAUUUUGGACAAUGGGCGCAAGCCUGAUCCAGCCAUGCCGCGUGAGUGAAGAAGGCCUUCGGGUUGUAAAGCUCUUUCAGCCGGGAAGAAAAGGUUGCGACUAAUAAUCGCAAUCCAUGACGGUACCGAAAGAAGAAGCACCGGCUAACUACGUGCCAGCAGCCGCGGUAAUACGUAGGGUGCGAGCGUUAAUCGGAAUUACUGGGCGUAAAGGGUGCGCAGGCGGUUUUGUAAGUCAGAUGUGAAAUCCCCGGGCUUAACCUGGGAACU
rnacentral:rRNA from 1 species